CCCCACUAUGCCCAGCCCUAACCCACAAUAUCACCCACUACCAGAUAUUCGCCAGAGAAUUACAAGCAAUAUGCUCGAAACUCAAAGGACUUGGCGGUGUCUCACAUUCCCCUAGAGGAGCCUGUCCUAUAAUCGAUACUCCCCGCUAAACCUUACCAUCUAAGGCCCGCCCAGCCUAUAUACCGCCGUCGCCAGCCUACCCCACUGAGGGCCCAAAAGUAGGCAAAAUUGCCAGCACAAAAACGUCAGGUCAAGGUGUAGCUAAUGAGAUGGCAGAGAUGGGCUACAUUUUCUAAUAUAGAAAAUACGGAAAAUACAAUGAAACUUGUAUUAAAGGCGGAUUUAGUAGUAAAGAAAGACCAAAGAACACUAACUUUAACCAGACACUG
rnacentral:rRNA from 1 species